rnacentral:rRNA from 1 species
AGAGUUUGAUCAUGGCUCAGAAUCAACGCUGGCGGCGUGCCUCAGACAUGCAAGUCGAACGAUUAAAGCUCUCUUCGGAGAGUGUAUAGAGUGGCGCACGGGUGAGUAACACGUAAGUAAUCUACCCUCGAGUGGGGAAUAACAACCGGAAACGGUUGCUAAUACCGCAUAAUGCAGCGGCACCGCAAGGUGACAGUUGUUAAAGAUUUAUCGCUUGAGGAGGAGCUUGCGGCAGAUUAGCUAGUUGGUAGGGUUACGGCUUACCAAGGCUACGAUCUGUAACCGGUCUAAGAGGACGGUCGGUCACACUGACACUGAAUAACGGGUCAGACUCCUACGGGAGGCAGCAGUCGGAAUUUUGGGCAAUGGGCGAAAGCCUGACCCAGCAACGCCGCGUGAAGGAUGAAGUAUUUCGGUAUGUAAACUUCGAAAGAAUAGGAAGAAUUAAUGACGGUACUAUUUAUAAGGUCCGGCUAACUACGUG